GAGCGCCCCGCAAGGGGAGCGGCAGACGGGAGAGUAACACGUGGGAACAUACCCUUCAGUUCGGAACAACCCAGGGAAACUUGGGCUAAUACCGAAUACGUCCGUAAGGAGAAAGAUUUAUCGCUGAAGGAUUGGCCCGCGUCUGAUUAGCUAGUUGGUGAGGUAACGGCUCACCAAGGCUACGAUCAGUAGCUGGUCUGAGAGGAUGAUCAGCCUCACUGGGACUGAGACACGGCCCAGACUCCUACGGGAGGCAGCAGUGGGGAAUAUUGGACAAUGGGCGCAAGCCUGAUCCAGCCAUGCCGCGUGGAUGAUGAAGGCCCUAGGGUUGUAAAGUCCUUUCGGCGGGGAAGAUAAUGACGGUACCCGCAGAAGAAGCCCCGGCUAACUUCGUG
rnacentral:rRNA from 1 species